AUUGAACGCUGGCGGCAUGCUUUACACAUGCAAGUCGAACGGUAACAGGCCUUCGGGUGCUGACGAGUGGCGAACGGGUGAGUAAUACAUCGGAACGUGCCCGGAGGUGGGGGAUAACGCAGCGAAAGCUGUGCUAAUACCGCAUGCGAUCUGAGGAUGAAAGCGGGGGACCGAGCAGCAAUGUUUGGCCUCGCGCGUCUGUAGCGGCCGAUGUCGGAUUAGGUAGUAGGUGGGGUAAAGGCCUACCAAGCCGACGAUCUGUAGCUGGUCUGAGAGGACGACCAGCCACACUGGGACUGAGACACGGCCCAGACUCCUACGGGAGGCAGCAGUGGGGAAUUUUGGACAAUGGGCGCAAGCCUGAUCCAGCAAUGCCGCGUGCGGGAAGAAGGCCUUCGGGUUGUAAACCGCUUUUGUACGGAACGAAAAGGCUCUGGCUAAUACCUGGGGGUGAUGACGGUACCGUAAGAAUAAGCACCGGCUAACUACGUG
rnacentral:rRNA from 1 species